UACGUAGGGGGCUAGCGUUGUCCGGAAUCAUUGGGCGUAAAGCGCGUGUAGGCGGCCCGAUAAGUCCGCUGUGAAAGUCCAGGGCUCAACCCUGGGAUGCCGGUGGAUACUGUCGGGCUCGAGUCCGGAAGAGGCGAGUGGAAUUCCCGGUGUAGCGGUGAAAUGCGCAGAUAUCGGGAGGAACACCAAUGGCGAAGGCAGCUCGCUGGGACGUGACUGACGCUGAGACGCGAAAGCGUGGGGAGCAAACAGG
rnacentral:rRNA from 1 species